UACGGGGGGAGCAAGCGUUGUUCGGAUUUACUGGGCGUAAAGGGCGCGUAGGCGGCCACCGCAAGUCGAUUGUGAAAUCUCCGGGCUUAACCCGGAAAGGUCAACCGAUACUGCGGGGCUAGAGUGCAGAAGGGGCAACUGGAAUUCUCGGUGUAGCGGUGAAAUGCGUAGAUAUCAGGAGGAACACCGGUGGCGAAGGCGGGUCUCUGGGCAGUGAACUGACGCUGAGGAGCGAAAGCGUGGGGAGCGAACAGG
rnacentral:rRNA from 1 species